rnacentral:rRNA from 1 species
AGCAGCCGCGGUAAUUCCAGCUCCAAUAGCGUAUAUUAAAGUUGUUGCAGUUAAAAAGCUCGUAGUUGAAUUUCGGGAUCAAUAUGUCGGUCGUGCCUUGGUACGUACUGGUAUCAUUGGUUUCUCCUUUCUGACGAACCAUGAUGUCAUUAAUUUGGUGUUAUGGGAAGUUAGGACUGUUACUUUGAAAAAUUAGAGUGUUUAAAGCAGGCUUUAGCUUGAAUACAUUAGCAUGGAAUAAUGAAAUAGGACGUUCGAACCUAUUUUGUUGGUUUCUAGGAUCAACGUAAUGAUUAAUAGGGAUAGUUGGGGGCAUUAGUAUUCAAUUGUCAGAGGUGAAAUUCUUGGAUUUAUUGAAGACUAACUACUGCGAAAGCAUUUGCCAAGGAUGUUUUCAUUAAUCAAGAACGAAAGUUAGGGGAUCGAAGACGAUCAGAUACCGUCGUAGUC